rnacentral:misc_RNA from 1 species
AACCUAGCACACCUGCGGUGUGUACCUGCGGAAGGAUCAUUACCGAGUUUACAACUCCCAAACCCCUGUGAACAUACCUAUACGUUGCCUCGGCGGAUCAGCCCGCGCCCUGUAAAAAGGGACGGCCCGCCCGAGGACCCUAAACUCUGUUUUUAGUGGAACUUCUGAGUAAAACAAACAAAUAAAUCAAAACUUUCAGCAACGGAUCU